CACGGCCGCGCGGCCGCCCGCUCCAUCCUCCCUCCCUGCGCCCGGCUCAGCCCGGCCCGCCCCGCCCCGGGCGCCGCCACCGACACCGCGACACGACGAAAGCCCCGCCCCCCGCGCAGGCGCACCACCCGCUCCACCGGCGUUUCCUACUCCCGCCCCCGCUCCGCGACUAUUGGCUCCUCGCGCCGCAGCCCCCGCCGCAGUGGUGGCUGCGCACGCUAAUCACCGCCUAGCCCCGUCCCGCGAGCAGAGCCGCUUUCAGCUUUUCGAGUCGCCCAGUUCCGCCGGCCUCUCCUGUUUCCCACGGAUGGGACCUUCCGAAGGGCGCCGAAUGGGGCUCUGGAAGGGACCACUGGGAAAGCGGGGGGGGGGACCCGAGCGGAGCGCCGCGCGGCUUCCCUUGGCUCGAGUACAAUAGCGGGGCUGCGGGGCGCCUACAGAUCCCAGGCUGCGGGGCUGCGGCCGGCGCCGCGCGGCAUGCCGGGACCUGUAGUCGCGGCGGGGCGGCGGCGCCCGCUCGGGCCCCCGGCCGGGAAGGCAGGGCGCCGGGGCGGGUUUUGCGUUGUUGCCCUCUUACCGAGGGUGCCGCUGAAAGGGCCGGCGGGAGGCCUCGAGCUGCGGAAGGAGGCCGAGGCGGGACGCAGGGCUCCCGGAGGCCGAGCGGGCGGCGCCGCUGCGCUGAUGUUCAUGGAGGCUAAUGUACGGAGGACAGAAGGACACAUCAAGGAACUGGGAGAGAGAUCCAGUGCUGUGCUGAGGAAGGAGGACAGACAAUUUUCCUGUUCAAAGAUAGCUUCUUAUGUCCCCACAAGAUGCAGAAAUGUCUUUACCACUGAAGACAGUACAAUUUGGGAUAAGGACCCAGCAUAUGAAAGAACUAGCACAUGGAGUGUAAUUGCCAGGAAGCUGUUCAACAGCUCAAGGAGGAACGCCGAUAUCAGUGGGAUAUGUGAUUCCAACUGCUGGAAAUAA
rnacentral:lncRNA from 1 species